AUUGAACGCUGGCGGCAGGCCUAACACAUGCAAGUCGAGCGGACGAAGGGAGCUUGCUCCUGGAUUCAGCGGCGGACGGGUGAGUAAUGCCUAGGAAUCUGCCUGGUAGUGGGGGGUAACGUCCGGAAACGGGCGCUAAUACCGCAUACGUCCUGAGGGAGAAAGUGGGGGAUCUUCGGACCUCACGCUAUCAGAUGAGCCUAGGUCGGAUUAGCUAGUUGGUGGGGUAAAGGCCUACCAAGGCGACGAUCCGUAACUGGUCUGAGAGGAUGAUCAGUCACACUGGAAAUGAGACACGGUCCAGAAUCCUAAGGGAGGCAGCAGUGGGGAAUAUUGGACAAUGGGCGAAAGCCUGAUCCAGCCAUGCCGCGUGUGUGAAGAAGGUCUUCGGAUUGUAAAGCACUUUAAGUUGGGAGGAAGGGCAGUAAGUUAAUACCUUGCUGUUUUGACGUUACCAACAGAAUAAGCACCGGCUAACUUCGUG
rnacentral:rRNA from 1 species